GGAGAGAUACCGAAGCGGCCAUACCGGCGCCGACUCGAAAUCGGCUGGGGUCUUUUUAUGGCCUACGCGGGUUCGAAUCCCGCUCUCUCCG
rnacentral:tRNA from 1 species